CUAGUUUAAUUCAUGAAGACCAGACCGGUUUUGUUCCCACUAGACAGGCAAGUGCUAACUCGAGACGUUUGAUCAAUAUUUUAGAUUGGGGAGAGGCACCUUCUAACUACUCAGAAAAAGCCUCUAAGAACAUCCCCAUUUUUAUUAACAAGGCAAAGGAUGGGGAUAUAUGUUUGGGGUCUCGGAGUCCAUGGGGUUUUGUGGAUGGAUGAAAGCAGGAAUUAAAACCAUAUACCAAAAUCUUAUGGCCAUGGUGGUGAGUGCGGAUUUAUGUUCCAAUUGGUUUACUUUUGGGUAAAGGCAUCCGUGAGGGAUGCCUGCUCUCACCAAUAUUAUCCAUAAUAUCCAAGGAGUCCCUAGCAACUAGGAUAAGGUCCAACUCAAAUUUCAGGGGGAUUCCAGUAGCCUCAAAAUAUCUUAAGAUGUGCAUGUAUGCGGAUGACAUGAUAAUAACCUUGACUGACCUCAUCGCUUCCAUCCCACAUUUAAUUAAUCAGAUUGCCCAGUACAGUGAGCUAUCUAAUUAUAAGAUAAAUAUAGAUAAAUCUGUGGUUAUGUUCAAAAAUUGUGAUGCCGAUAGAAAAAAAACCAAAUAUUAGAAAUGCAUAGCUUUGGAGAAGCUGAAGGGAGUUUUGAGUAUUUAGAUGUUACACUCUCAAGUAUUUAGAUGUUACACAAAACAAAUAGAAUUGUUGAAGAGAAUGUCUUGAAACUGAUUAGAUCAACAAACCUAAUGUUAAAAAAGUGGUAUAAUAAAUUUUCGAGUUGUUAGGUUGAAUUAAUAUUAUCAAUGCUUAUAUUCUCCACAUGUGGACAUAUCUUUUUUAAAUGAUCCCUCUAAAAAUUCCAGACAGCUGGUUAGAAAUUGUUCAGAAAAAUAUUGUAUGGAGAGGGACGAGACCACGCAUCAACCUUGACCAGCUGACAAAUAGUCCCAGUCAAGGUGGUAUAAAUUUCACCAAUAUUAAAAAACAUUGUGAGGCUAGUAUAAUCCAUCAUAUCCAAAUUCGAACUGAAUAGGAAGUGAGGGAAACAUUAUUAUUAUUAUUAAACAAAAGCGGUAUGAAUAAACCUGUCUGGCAAGAAAAAG